rnacentral:rRNA from 1 species
CAAUAGCGUAUAUUAAAGUUGUUGCAGUUAGAACGCUCGUAGUCGGAUUUCGGGGCGGGCCGACCGGUCUGCCGAUGGGUACGCACUGGUCGGCGCGUCCUUCCUUCCGGAGACCGUUCCUACUCUUAACUGAGCGGGGGCGGGAGACGGAUCGUUUACUUUGAAAAAAUCAGAGUGUUUCAAGCAGGCAGCUCGCUCUUGCAUGGAUUAGCAUGGGAUAAUGAAAUAGGACUUUGGUGCUAUUUUGUUGGUUUCGAACACCGAAGUAAUGAUUAAAAGGGACAGUCAGGGGCACUCGUAUUCCGCCGAGAGAGGUGAAAUUCUCAGACCAGCGGAAGACGAACUACUGCGAAAGCAUUUGCCAGGGAUGUUUNCACUGA